ensembl:lncRNA
AUAAACAAAUAUUCAAAAUGCUACCGUUUCGUAAUCGAAGGUCGGAUCAAAAAGUGUUUGAGUUUUUCUUUUCGUGUGCGUCUGAAGAUGUCGUGUGCAAAGUUUGGUGUUGAUUGGUCGAGAAAUGUGGGAGGAGUAGCGAAAAAACAGUUUUGCGGUCUUUGCGAUUUAGCGAAAAAAAUUUCUAGACGCAAAUGGGCGUGGCCUAGGCCAAAAGAUGCAACAGACUCCAGUGCAUCUGUGUGUACAAGUUUUUGGACUCUGGGAGGUUCGGUG